ACUCCUACGGGAGGCAGCAGUGGGAAUAUUGCACAAUGGGGAAGCCAUCGAUGCAGCCAUGCCGCGCUGUGUGAAGAAGGCCAAUUCGGGCUUGGUAAAGACACUUUCAGUUGUGAGGAAGGUGGUGUCGUUAAUAGCGGCAUCAUUUGACGUUAGCAACAGAAGAAGCACCGGCUAACUCCGUGCCAGCAGCCGCGGUAAUACGGAGGGUGCGAGCGUUAAUCGGAAUUACUGGGCGUAAAGCGCAUGCAGGUGGUUUGUUAAGUCAGAUGUGAAAGCCCGGGGCUC
rnacentral:rRNA from 1 species